rnacentral:rRNA from 1 species
CUAUGCGCCUUGCCACGCCCGCUCAGAAACUCAAAGGAAUUGACGGGGGCCCGCACAAGCGGAGGAACAUGUGGUUUAAUUCGAUGAUACGCGAGGAACCUUACCUGGGCUUAAAGUGGGGAGUGACAGCUGUCGAAAGAUGGUUUUCUUCGGACACUCUUCAAGGUGCUGCAUGGUUGUCGUCAGCUCGUGCCGUGAGGUGUCGGGUUAAGUCCCGUAACGAGCGCAACCCUUGUCCUUAGUUACCAGCACGUUAUGGUGGGCACUCUAAGGAGACUGCCGGUGACAAACCGGAGGAAGGUGGGGAUGACGUCAAGUCAUCAUGGCCCUUACGGCCUGGGCUACACACGUGCUACAAUGGUCGGUACAAAGGGUUGCCAAGCCGCGAGGUGGAGCUAAUCCCAUAAAACCGAUCGUAGUCCGGAUCGCAGUCUGCAACUCGACUGCGUGAAGUCGGAAUCGCUAGUAAUCGUGAAUCAGAAUGUCACGGUGAAUACGUUCCCGGGCCUU